AUUGAACGCUGGCGGCAUGCCUUACACAUGCAAGUCGAACGGCAGCGCGGACUUCGGUCUGGCGGCGAGUGGCGAACGGGUGAGUAAUACAUCGGAACGCACCCUGUUGUGGGGGAUAACUAGUCGAAAGAUUAGCUAAUACCGCAUACGACCUGAGAGUGAAAGUGGGGGACCGCAAGGCCUCACGCAGCAGGAGCGGCCGAUGUCUGAUUAGCUAGUUGGUGGGGUAAAGGCCCACCAAGGCGACGAUCAGUAGCUGGUCUGAGAGGACGAUCAGCCACACUGAGACUGAGACACGGCCCAGACUCCUACGGGAGGCAGCAGUGGGGAAUUUUGGACAAUGGGGGCAACCCUGAUCCAGCAAUGCCGCGUGUGAGAAGAAGGCCUUCGGGUUGUAAAGCACUUUUGUCCGGAAAGAAAUCGCGCUGGUUAAUACCUGGCGUGGAUGACGGUACCGGAAGAAUAAGCACCGGCUAACUACGUGCCAGCAGCCGCCGUAA
rnacentral:rRNA from 1 species